UACGAAGGGGGCUAGCGUUGCUCGGAAUCACUGGGCGUAAAGGGUGCGUAGGCGGGUCUUUAAGUCAGGGGUGAAAUCCUGGAGCUCAACUCCAGAACUGCCUUUGAUACUGAAGAUCUUGAGUUCGGGAGAGGUGAGUGGAACUGCGAGUGUAGAGGUGAAAAUUCGUAGAUAUUCGCAAGAACACCAGUGGCGAAGGCGCUCACUGGCCCGAUACUGACG
rnacentral:rRNA from 1 species